ACGGAGGGUGCAAGCGUUAUCCGGAUUUAUUGGGUUUAAAGGGUGCGCAGGCGGCUGCGCAAGUCAGUGGUGAAAACCUGCCGCUUAACGGUAGGCGUGCCAUUGAUACUGCGUGGCUUGAGUAUGGUUGAGGUAGGCGGAAUGUGCAGUGUAGCGGUGAAAUGCAUAGAUAUUGCACAGAACGCCGAUUGCGGAGGCAGCUUACUAAGCCAUUACUGACGCUGAGGCACGAAAGCGUGGGGAGCGAACAG
rnacentral:rRNA from 1 species